rnacentral:lncRNA from 1 species
AAGUUUUUAUUAAAGGUAAACGUCCUUGUAAAGACAAGUGUGCAAUUGAACACUCGUGAGACUUCUGAGUACACUCCUUUCAUAGACUCCAUAAUAUAGAAAUUGAAAAGGAUAUGAAAGGAUAUGGUUCUCUUACCUUAGAGGUGAAGAAAACAAGGUCUAUAUUAAACAAAGUUUUUCCAAGAUGUACAUUUACUAGCAGAGCUAGGAGUCAAUUCUAGGCCUAACUGCUUCUCGAGUGCUCUUUCCACUGCCCUGCAGCUGCACGUUGCCUUUUAUUGAAGUUACUAUUAGAAAUCUGACCCCAAUUAAUUAACUUGACAAUAAUAAGUAUUCAUGGUUUAGAAAUUACCAAGUUUAAUAUUUAGUAAUAUUAAUUAUGCAAAUAUCCACAAACAGUACUUUGAAGAAAGGGUAGUGUGAUGGAUGGUUAAUAUUGAGUGUCAACUUGAUUGAAUUGAAGGAUGCAAAGGAUUGUUCCUGGGUGUGUCUGUGAGGGUGCUGCCAAAAGAGAUUAACAUUUGAGUAAGUGGACUGGGAGAGGCAGACCCACCCUCAAUCUGGGUGUGCACCGUGUGAUCAGCUGCCAGCAUGGCUAGAAUUAAGCAGGCAGAAGAAAUUGGAAGGAGCCGAUUUGCUGAGUCUUCUGGCAUUCAUCUUUUCCCCAUGCUGGAUGCUUCCUGCCCUAGAACAUCAGACUCCAGGUUCUUCAGUUUUUAGACUUUUGGACUUAACCAGUAUUUUCCAGGGGCUCCAGGGCCUUUGGCCACAGACUGAAGGCGGCACUAUCAGCUUCCCUACUUUUGAGGUUUUGGGACUCAGACUGAUCCACCACUGGCUUCCUUGCUCCUCAACUUGCAGACAGCCUAUUGUGAGACUUUACCUCGUGACUAAGUGUUAAGCCAAACAGAUUCUAUGGCUUCCACACAAAUGAGUAAGUGAUGAAGUUUAUGUACAUGAACAUUGCCGGUGCUGAUGAUCUUCCAAGAAUCUAAGGCAUUUAAGGAAUGCUAAUGUCAUUUGGGAACUGCAAAUCGAAACCAUAAAUAUAUACCAAUUUACCUCCACUAUGAUGGCUAGAAUGAAAAGGAUAGAUGGUAACAAGUGUUGACAAGGAUGGCAGAAAGUAAAACCCUCAUGCGCUGAUGGUGAAAACGUAAAGUUGUGCAGCCAGUCCAGAAAAAAUUCUGUAAGUUCCUCAAAAAAUUUAACAUAGAGUUAUGUUAUGACCAAGAAAUGAAAAUGAAAAUAUUCUGUCCACACAAAAAGUUUUACAUGAAUGCUUAUACCAGUAUUACUCAUAAUAAUAAAAAGGAGAAACCACUCAAAUAUCUACUGAUGAAUGAAUGGACAAACAAAAUGUGGUAAAGCCAUAGAAUACCAUAUUGCUCAGCCACAAAAAUGAAAUAAAUUACUGAUACAUGCUACAGCGUGAAUAAACCGUGAAAACAUUAUAAUAAGUGAAAGAAACCAGUCAGAAAUGCCCACAUACUGUAGGUUUCAUAUGUAAGAAAUAUCCAGAAUAGGCAAAUCUAUAAGACAAAAAGUACAUUCAUGGUUGCCAAGGGCUGGGAUGAGGGGAAAAUGGAAAAUGACUGCUAAUGGGUAUGGGUAUGGGUUUUCUUUCCAUGGUGAUGAAAAUAUUGUAGAUUAGAUAAAGGUAAUUAUUACAUAAAUCCAUAAAUAUGCUGAAAUGACUGAAUUGUAACUUUAAAGUGUGAGCUUUUGGUAUGUGAAUUAUAUCUCAGUAAAGAUAU